rnacentral:rRNA from 1 species
AGCAGCCGCGGUAAUUCCAGCUCCAAUAGCGUAUAUUAAAGUUGUUGCAGUUAAAAAGCUCGUAGUUGAAUUUCGAGAUCAAAUUGUUGGUCGUGCCUUGGUACGCACUGGCAUUAUUGGUUUCUCCCUUCUGACGAACCAUGAUGUCAUUAAUUUGGUGUCUUGGGGAAUCAGGACUGUUACUUUGAAAAAUUAGAGUGUUUAAAGCAGGCUCACGCUUGAAUACAUUAGCAUGGAAUAAUGAAAUAGGACGUUUGAUUCUAUUUUGUUGGUUUCUAGGAUCGACGUAAUGAUUAAUAGGGAUAGUUGGGGGCAUUAGUAUUCAAUUGUCAGAGGUGAAAUUCUUGGAUUUAUUGAAGACUAACUACUGCGAAAGCAUUUGCCAAGGAUGUUUUCAUUAAUCAAGAACGAAAGUUAGGGGAUCGAAGACGAUCAGAUACCGUCGUAGUCUUAACCAUAAACUAUGCCGACUAGGGAUCGGAUGAUGUUAAUUUUUAUGA